rnacentral:lncRNA from 1 species
UUUUUUUUUUUUUUUUUUGGUCAAGGAAGUGGACACUUACUGGUUAAGGUUUACCCAGUGCAACCCAACAACCAUAUGACAUGGGUAACUCAGGGUACCUUUCUUCUGAGUGAGUUCCAAUAAUCUGAGCCCUUCCCAUGACCCCACUUUCUCCUGACCUGGCUGAGAGCGCCCAGGUGGCCUCUACUUUGCAAUGAUGCUGUGAUGCUGUGAGCUGUCAGCUGAGUUGAUAAGUAGAAGGUGGGGUGCCAGGCACUCAGUCAGUGUUGAGAUCCUACCUGUGCCCACCUAGUAUGGCGAGGCCCUGGUCAAGUGUGCAGAGCUUACUGCAUCUGCUUUUUAAAUGAGGGGACUGGGGGCAGCCCUUCUAGUGUAGUCCCCUCAUGAGUGCCCUGUGGGAAGCUGGUGGUGGUCUUCCUUAUAUAACCAGUUACUCAACAUUAAGAAGCCAGACUGACAGUUGUUUAUAGAAACGUUUAAUGUUAGGGAAAUGUUUUCACUUGAGGGAAGCUGUAGGGCUUGGCCUUGGGUACUCACAGAACCCCAAGCCCCACUUUCCCAGGCUGGCUGUUUACUUGGCUCUUAGACCCCCGUUCACUUCCAAGGUGGCAUGCUGCUUUGCUUCCAAGGUGAAGGGAUUUGACCAAGAUCACACAGUUGAACUUGGGCAGCUGGCCCCAGCACUUGCAUCUGUUCUCAGAAGACAGAUAGCAGGUGUACCGGGCUGUUACUGUCCCCACUGGCUGUUCUGGGAGAUGAGGAAUUCAAAGAUGAGCUCUCAGCACCUGCGCUCCACUGUUUCCUCUAGAAAGAGCUGAUAGAACUUGUUGCUGUAACCUAGCCAGAAAACUGCUAUGCUCGGCCAGGUUUUAGCAUGUGUUUAAGCCCAUGCCCCUGGAGCAGCCCAGGCUAUCCAUCAGUCAGGCAUCCUGUGCUCAUAAUAUUAAGCCUGGAAAUGGAGACUACUGGCUGAAGACAGUUGUGGAAAUAAGGGCCCACGCUGUGGGCAACUGCCAUAGAUACCCAGGUCACCGUGGGACACUGAACACAUUGAAAGGGCAAGAUUUACCCCCCUGUGCCAGCAAGAUACUCACUUAGCUGGAGCCUUUGGAUCUAAAUGUUGCCAAAGUGGGUCUUGGAAACUGCACACUACCCAGACAUCUUGGUGCUUUUGGCUUACACCAAACAAAAGGACAGAUACAAAUCUGAAUUGUGUAAGACUCAGGAUCCUGCUUCCAGCCCUGUGUGUAGGUUGUCAGCAGACCCUCACAGUAGCACCAAUAGUCUAAUUCCUGCAGAGUGAAGCAUGAGGGGAGCCCUGUAACAAAGGAAGGACCACAGGGUGGUCCCAUGGUUAUCCUACAGAGGAGGGUGUGGCUAGCAGCUGCCAGGUGUGUCCUCAGGUGAGGCAGCAAGGCAAGGUAAGUGGCUAUUAAGGGGCACGUGCAGAGGAGGAAAUGUCCCUGCUGCCGACAUCUAUGGCUUGUCUGACCUUCCCUGCCUAACUGCCUAUGAAGCUAGGCUGAAGAAAACCAAAGAGCCUUGCGAAACCUGUCCUCAGUCCUUCCAGGUCAGAACUGCACAUAUCCAGCUGAAUACCUAGACCCUAUUCACUGGGGAGGAUGGACAGCUGUAGCCCCUUGGUCCCAGACAUGGACACACUAACUCGGGUACAAGCCCUAGUCCUUGGCAAGCCUUAUCCAGGUGGGAUUGACAGCAGAACCCUAGAGGGCCUGUCCUCCAGAGUCAGGAGUUCUGGUCCCGACCUCACAACCUGAGCUUUGUGCUGAAGGCUAAAGCCCUUUUCUGGUCUUUGGGAAAAGUCUUUUAUGUUUUUGUUCCCUCUUCCCUUCAGGGGACGGGCAAGUAUAGCCACCGUGAAUGAAAGUACACACAUCCUCACAUUUAGACAGGCUACCAUGACCCACCCGACAUAGCCUGGCUGGACUCUGCAUAGGUCUGGUAAGUCACCUGAACAUGACAGCUGGCCCGAGCUUUUCUCCCCUGUAUGGUUACUGCCCUGGCUGAGGACAAGCCCAAUAGUCCCCAUUUUCACAUAGCAGCACUGUCAGGAACCUCUUCCAGAUAAAUAGGUCCAAUGGGGUUCUUGAAGUAAAUGGGUACAGAGAGAAGAGUUUCUGGCCUUGUGGUCCAGAGUUAGCAGGCAUUAUAUCAUCUAUCAAAAUAAAUACUAAAAUUCCUAUUAAGUCAUUCACAGUCCAUAGUGGGCACAGGUCUCAGUUCAGUGUGGCUUUACCCAAGAGGCUAUAUGUUUCCUAGUUGUCUAAGUCACUCAAAAAAAUUGCCAAGGCAGGAUGUUCCAUUCAGAAUGCAGUCCAUUCGAUGACGGGCUCCGGCAUGGCCCAAAAGUAGUCAGUGUUUCUCGGCUGCGUAAAGGAUGUUGUAGUGGGAUGUUUUAUAGAGCAGAUAAACCGAAGGGAUGGCAGCCUCGGGGAACACGUGGUGGUUCAGAGCGGUGUCCAUCUCGUCGACGUACUCUACCUGCAGAGCAAUGUUGAGUGCCUGCGACAGGGCUGUGAUCUGCACGUGGUCACACUCCAUGGCCAUGGGCUCUACUUCCUGCAAGGCCAAAAUAAAAUACUUAGGAGGCUAGGGCGAGGGGGGGCGUGCAGCCCUGGCUCCUAGGAUCGCAGUCGUCUGUUCUGUGCAAGGCUAGUGAGGCCCACCUGUCACGGAAGCAACACAGCCCGACACUACUGGGGUUGCAGAAAAUGAAGCAGAAACCAUUUUUAUUCCAGACCCCUUGACGGAAUGUGCAAGAGAGGAAGGAAUCUUUCAGGCUGACAUCAAAAACUUACAACUAAAAGGACCCUGAGGUAGAGGCUUCCGAGUAUAAGCCUGUAGAAGCCAAAGCCUGGGUCUGAGUCCUGAUGCUGGAGAGACAGUAGAGAGGCAGAGACUGGGGCAGGUCAGCAUGUGUAUCCCACAGAGGGCAGCUGCUCUUGUGCCUGUGGUAACCAUCAUUUAAGUAAGGGGCCUAGUACCUCCUAAUUGAAACAAAAAAUUCAGAUAGCCAUGUGAAAAUUGUCCAUUUCUUAACAUGUGGGCCACUCCUGAUAAAUACAUCUGAAACAAGAGGCCACCAUAAGACAGAUGUGACAGGAGCUGUUACUCUGCAGUACAGCAGCAGACCCCUCCCAAGUCCUGCGAUCCCAGACAUUUCCCCGGGGUUACAAGCAGCCUGUUCACGCCUCAGAGCCCAGGACACUCAAGGAAGAUGUCUCCAGCGGGCUAAUCUCACUAGUUGGCACUGUAAGGGUGUUCCUCUGAGCAGAAACAGUGGGCCUGGAGUGUGUAAGGGACAGACAAAGCCCAGGCUGGGAGCUACAUCCCCGAGGAGGACCCUAGGGACCUACGUGAGUGCAGAAGUCUUUGAUGUCCAUCUCCUCAUCAAUGAAAUGUCGGAAGAAGUCAGCUCGGUUCCUGAUGAAGGCCGACGUGAGGAGGCGUAAGAACUGCACGAUUCGGUCCGAGGAACUCUGGUCAUUGAACACCUUCAGCAGGCUGGACACUGAGCUAUCCUUCUCUACCAGCUCAACCACACUGUAAAACUUCACAUGGCCCCGCCGUCAGGGCAGACCCGGCUCGCACCUGCCCCCGACACCCAAUGGGACCCCUCAUUUUGAGACUGUAAGUAUUAGUGUUGAAGCUCAGAGACACAUCUAGGGCCUCCCCCCUUCCACCAUACAUUCAGAAGGGCAGGAGGGUGACAGUCCUGUGAGCUGAGGUCCCCUGUAUGCACAUAUCCCCAUAAGUAGGAAAUGACCCUGCCCCAUCCCAGCCCCAACUGCAGAGCUGUGGACGGGCUGAGGACCUCCAGCCUGUCUGCUCUGCCCAUGUGGAGGGCCUUGGUCCUCAACCUCUGUGGCUCAGGUGAACUCACAGCAUUAAAGAAGUUUC